rnacentral:rRNA from 1 species
UUCCGGUUGAUCCUGCCGGAGGCUACUGCUAUUGGAAUUCGACUAAGCCAUGCGAGUCAAGGUGUCUUCGGACGCCGGCAUACGGCUCAGUAACACGUAGGUAACCUACCCUCAGGACUGAGAUAACCCCGGGAAACUGGGGCUAAUAUUAGAUAGAUAAAAGAUACUGGAAUGUUCUUUUAUCCAAAGCUUUUGCGCCUGAGGAUGGGCCUGCGCCCGAUUAGGUUGUUGGUGGGGUAAUGGCCCACCAAGCCUACGAUCGGUACGGGCAGUGGGAGCUGAAGCCCGGAGUUGGGGACUGAGACAAGGCCCCAGGCCCUACGGGGCGCAGCAGGCGCGAAACCUCUGCAAUGCGGGAAACCGUGACAGGGGGAUUCCAAGUGCUCACGCAUUGCAUGGGCUGUUCUUUGGUCUAAGUAACCAGAGGAGUAAGGGCUGGGCGAGACCGGUGCCAGCCGCCGCGGUAAUACCGGCAGCUCAAGUGGUAGCCGCGAUUAUUGGGCCUAAAACGUUCGUAGCCGGAUAAGUAAGUCUUUGGUUAAAUCCUGCGACUUAACCGUGGGAAAUCUAGAGAUACUGCUUGUCUUGAGACCGGGAGAGGUUGGAGGUACUCCCAGGGUAGGGGUGAAAUCCUGUAAUCCUGGGGGGACCACCUGUGGCGAAGGCGUCCAACUGGAACGGGUCUGACGGUGAGGGACGAAACCUAGGGGAGCGAGCCGGAUUAGAUACCCGGGUAGUCCUAGGCGUAAAUGAUGCGAGUUAAGUGUGGGGGCAUCCACGAGAUGGCCCUGUGCUGUAGGGUAGCCGUUAAACUCGUUGCCUGGGGAGUACGGUCGCAAGGCUGAAACUUAAAGGAAUUGGCGGGGGAGCACCACAAGAGGUGGAGGCUGCGGUUCAAUUGGAUUCAACGCCGGG